UACGUAGGGUGCGAGCGUUGUCCGGAUUUAUUGGGCGUAAAGGGCUCGUAGGCGGCCUGUCGCGUCGGGAGUGAAAGCCCACUGCUUAACGGUGGGUCUGCUUCCGGUACGGGCGGGCUAGAGUACUGCAGGGGAGACUGGAAUUCCUGGUGUAGCGGUGGAAUGCGCAGAUAUCAGGAGGAACACCGGUGGCGAAGGCGGGUCUCUGGGCAGUAACUGACGCUGAGGAGCGAAAGCGUGGGGAGCGAACAGG
rnacentral:rRNA from 1 species